rnacentral:rRNA from 1 species
UGUAGUGUCAACGAUGAUGCAUACAUGUCAACUAUGGGUGUUGGCUCCAACAAUUCGCAUUGGUCUCAAACCAAUGAUAUGCAUUUCGAAGACCAUGAGUUCGAGGUGGACGAGGAUGGUGUGGGCGUUUUCGACGCGCCGAAAGGAAGAGCGGGCAAUUACACCAACGCCGAUGACAUCUUACUAUGCAAUACUGAGUUGCAAGUGUCGAGGGAUCCAUCCGCCGGAGGUGAUCAAAGUAGAGAUGCUUAUUAG